rnacentral:lncRNA from 1 species
UUAAAUUUGCCUUCAAUUGACAUCAAAAGGAAGAACCUACACAAAACAUUCAUAUUUACUAUUUCAAGAAGGUGGAUCUAGAGAAUUCACUUUAAUUUAUUGCAUUGUAAGCUAAUGAAGGUGAUAAUCCUUCAAAAAUGUUUGCUACAAAAUCAUGGUGAGUUGGUGCCAAAAAUGUGGUGAAUUAAUGAACAAAUGUUUCUUGCUUCUUUGGGUAAGCAGAGAUGCUGAUACUUCCUUCAACAUAUAUAGCCACCAGUUAGCACAUUCAUCAAGGUGGUCUUUCCAGCACCACUCACACCAACUAAUGCUGUUAAAACACCAGGCCAGUUAUGGUUUUAUUCCUUAGCUGGGCUGGAUUUUAAGAUUCAAAAAAGUCAUCUGGGAUUAAAAUCACACCCUUGCCACAAAGACCAUGCAUCCAUAACAAUUGUUAUAUGGGUUUCAGGUCAAUAAAUAUUAUGAUCUUGUUACCAUAUGCAGCUUCUACGAAUAUGGCUGGGGAGAUCGAAUCAUUCCAUUUUGCUGCCAGGUGAGUGUUAAUAUUCUUCUUCGGAACUGAUCGGCCUUUCCCUCUUCGUUAAGUUGUAAUAUUGAAAUCAAGCUGUGUAUAUUGCUUUAAUUUUAUCCAAUAUUAAGUGCCUUGUUACUGCUCUUUAAAACUAACAUAUGAGCAUUAUAUUUGGGCUCACAUGCAGAUGGAAGGAGGAAUCUCUUCGAGCGAGAGAGCAUUAAGCGCCAUGCGCACUUCCUUGCUUUACAACAAUGAAUACCAGAUAACAAGAGGAAAGCUGGUAAAUACUUGUGGAACUGCAUCUACAUCAGUUCUUGCUACUCUUAGUCAGUCAUUCAAUGUUUCCCGACAAGAACUGCAAAUUUCAGUCAUUUUUCUGUUAGUACACAUACUGAAAGUUGGAAAACUAGCUUCGACACAAUUCAUCCUAAUAUAUAUAUAGCCUGGAUUCUCUUCAAA